AGGGCACCACCAGGAGUGGAGCCUGCGGCUUAAUUUGACUCAACGCGGGGAAACUCACCCGGCCCGGACACCGUAAGGAUUGACAGAUUGAGAGCUCUUUCUUGAUUCGGUGGGUGGUGGUGCAUGGCCGUUCUUAGUUGGUGGAGCGAUUUGUCUGGUUAAUUCCGAUAACGAACGAGACUCUAGCCUACUAAAUAGAAGGCAAAUCAUUCGUUUGCUGUACUUCUUAGAGGGACUAGGGGCGUCUAGCCUCACGAGAUUGAGCAAUAACAGGUCUGUGAUGCCCUUAGAUGUCCGGGGCCGCACGCGCGCUACACUGAAGGAUUCAGCAAGUGUUCAGCCUGGUCUGAGAAGAUCGGGUAACCUAAUGAAACUCCUUCGUGAUUGGGAUAGGGACUUGUAAUUAUUUCCCUUGAACGAGGAAUUCCUAGUAAGUGCGGGUCAUCAUCUUUGUGUUGAUUACGUCCCUGCCCUUUGUACACACCGCCCGUCGCUACUAUCGAAUGAUGAGUUAUCCAU
rnacentral:rRNA from 1 species